GAGAGAGGUUAUAGAACACUAAGAACUGCUAAUUCUUAUAUCCACAGUUAAACUCUGUGGCUCACUCG
rnacentral:tRNA from 1 species